rnacentral:lncRNA from 1 species
GAAGAAUAGAUAAGGAGCGAGAAUAUAAAAAAAUAAAGAGUCAGUCAUUCACACAUAGUCGCAGAGGAAUGUUCACUGUCACAAGCGUUCACACAGUCCAGUGUCCUUC